rnacentral:rRNA from 1 species
UUGAGAACAACGUACAAACCUUAUCGAUAAACAAUUGGAGGGCAAGUCUGGUGCCAGCAGCCGCGGUAAUUCCAGCUCCAAUAGCGUAUAUUAACGUUGUUGCAGUUAAAAAGCUCGUAGUUGAAAUGAAGGGUAGUUGUGUAAUGAAUACAUUCGUGUAUUUUGUUAUUCUACUACCCUCCUUCUAAAUUCGAUAUAUGAGUAUUAAUUUACUUGUAUAUGGUUUUAGACUUUUACUGUGAGAAAAUUAGAGUGUUCAAAGCAGGCAUUUGCUUGAAUAUAUUAGCAUGGAAUAAUCAUGUAUGAUUUUCAUGAUGUAUUUGAUUGGUUUGGUUCAUGAGAAUAAGAUUAAAAGGGACAGUUGGGGGUAUUCAUAUUCAAUAGUCAGAGGUGAAAUUCUCGGAUUUAUGGAAGAUGAACAAGUGCGAAAGCAUUUACCAAGGAUGUUUUCAUUAAUCAAGAACGAAAGUUAGGGGAUCGAAGAGGAUUAGAUACCCUCGUA